rnacentral:rRNA from 1 species
AGGACGAACGCUGGCGGCGUGCUUAACACAUGCAAGUCGAGCGACGCACUUCUUCGGGGGUGACGGAGCGGCGAACGGGUGAGUAACACGUGGGCAACCUGCCCUCAGCUCUGGGACAACUCCGGGAAACCGGGGCUAAUACCGGAUACGACCUCCUUCCGCAUGGGUGGGGGUGGAAAGUUUUUCGGCUGAGGGUGGGCCCGCGGCCUAUCAGCUUGUUGGUGGGGUGAUGGCCUACCAAGGCGACGACGGGUAG